CUCGGUCUCCGCUGUCCCUGGAGGUCUCUGAUAGAGACAUGUCCCGGGAGACCUCCCCCCUGGACACACCCGAGAGCAGAGGGUGAGAAAAGAGGGAGGAGAAGAGGGGAGGAAGAGAGUUGUGUAUUGUGUGCAACUGGUAGUUACAUACAGUUGACACCUGAUAAUGUCAUAUUGUGUUGUGUUCAGGUCUCCUGUCCCCAGGUCUGUGUCCAAACUGAAGGACAUUCCAGAGGAGGGCGAGGGACCGCUGGAGAGAGAGGCAGAGGACAUACCUAUGGCUGACUUAUCAGCAGAGCUACAAGACGCAGUGACAGAGCCUCUUGAGGAUCAUGAAGGGGUGCUGUUCCACUCUCUGCUGCCCCCACUGGCCCAACGCAGUAGUGUCACUCACUCAUUCUGGACCCUACUGGAGAUGGUAACUGCCAGGAGACUCUGUGUGCAGCAGGAUGAACCUUAUGGUGACAUCAUAAUUUCACCUGGACCCAACUAUGAGGAGGGGAAUGAGAGUGUGUAACACACACACACACACACACACACACACACACACACACACACACACACACACACACACACACACACACACACACACACACACACACACACACACACACACACACACACACACACACACACACACACACACACACGAGUUUAUUCAAAGAUGACUUUCAAAUAGAUCUCACAAACAGAUAGUUUGAGUCGGGUAACUAGAAGAGACGACAGUUGACCUGUUCCUCUUUGCUAAUCGUAUUUUAGGUGCUUCAUUUGUGUGUGUUAUUUAGCAGACACUCUUAUCCAGAGCAGCUUACAGUAUUAAGUGUACACAUGUCUUGUGUUUUUGAUCUUGCCCCCAGUGGGAAUCAAACCCACAACCAUGGUGUUGCGAAUGCCAUCCUCUACCAACUGAGCCACACAGAACAUUUUGUAAAGCUUCAAGUUUUUAAAGUUUUAAAGCAGGUUUUGCUUUGUUGUUUUUUUAUAUCAGUAGUCUCUUAUUAUAUUAUGUGACUAAAGACUGAAUUUUAUAUUCAAUAUCACAUUUCUCUUUUAAGCAUUUUAAAUGACUUUUCCACCAUUUCUAUUUCCACAGUAUUUUAGUCUAUUCUUAGCGUGUGCUGACAUAUAAAGGACUCAGUGUGUUUGUGUUUCAGUGGUGUUUUUUUUAGACUUGUAACAGG
rnacentral:lncRNA from 13 species